GUAAUGAGCAUUGGUUAUUAUAUAAGACUGAUAAAUCACUGAACUCUAUCUCUGAAACUAAUAACUGAAUUUAAAGGCAGGUUUUAUACUGCAUAUAAAAGUUUUACAACCCUUUGGUUAAUAAUGAUCAAAUACGACCGGUGCGUCUUUGGUUUAAAUACUUCCAAGUUUAAAAAAAAAAAAAAAAAAAAACUUCCAAGUGUUUAACCUAGUAGGCAAACAUUCAAUAUAGAAAAGUUUCAUGGUUAAAAAUAAAACUCUGCAACUUACUAGCUAUAAGGUCCUGUAAACAUGGCACUUAGCUGAGUUCAUAGAGCACGUGGUUCUUGAUCUUAGGGUCAUGAAUUUGAGCCCCAUGUUGAGCCUACUUUAAAUAAUUAAAAAAAAACCCGAACACAUUUUUUUAACCUCUGAGCCUGAGUUUCUUCAUGAUGUAAGAAUAACUUGAGAAGUCUAAGUGUUGUCCCUGGUGUAAUACAAGAUACACAUAAAAAAGCAUCAUUUAGGGAUGUCUGGGUGGCUUGUCAGUUAAAUGACUCUUGAUUUCAGCUCAGGUCAUGAUUUCAGGGUUAUGGGAGUCUGCUUGCCCCUCUCCAUUUGCUCCUCCCCACUCCUGCCCUCAUCAUUCUCUCUCUCAAACAAAACUUUCAAAAAAGCUCAAAUAAAUGUUAGCUAUUGCUAGUGCAGCUCUACUAUUAUAGGACUAUGGAACAACAUUCCAAUAUUUAAGAAAUGGAUUGGAUUUAUAAUCUUAACAUGUCAGUUACACCUCAAAGCUGAUAUUGAAAUAAAAUUUAGCUCUGAAAAAGAAGAAAUGGAUUGGACUAUGCAGAGAUAAGUAAAAGGUUUCAAAUAGCAAUCUUAGAAUUCAUCUAAGGUCAACUCUCAUCUUAUAUGCCUAAACUUGCCUAUAGUCACAUAAUUACUGACAAUAUUACAAUCAGAAUUCUGGUCUCCCCUUUUAAGUCAGUAAUUUCUACUACAGCAUUACUCGUUGCCAGAGAGCAAGGAAAACUCCGUGGGUUAAUUUGGCUUGUGUCCGCUUACAUUACUUUGAAGAAUAGUACACUGAAAUGACAUUUUAAGAGAGCCACAAAACAAGGCAUAUAUCUCAUGUGGUUCCUUUAAGGGUUUUUCAUCUGUAAUAAAGCUUUUAUAAUUUCAGUGACUACUAGAAUUUAAGAAUUUCAAAGAAUAUCAAAUCCAUCUUUAAACUGACCCUGUAAAAUAGAUUCUAUUACUACUAGUAGUUAAACUCCAAAGUCUAAUCAUAGCUGCCCAUCUAUUCUUUGACUGAAACUCCUGAGGGCUACUUCAGGUAGUUCUUACUAUAAGGUUGAGAGUUCAAAUUCUGCUGCUACUAGAGGACUGUUUCUCUAUAUGCUUACUUUGGGAUUUCUGUUCUCUGAUGUCACUUUCUUAAACUAGUCUAAAAAGGUAGCAUGGCCUACUAAUCCAAUGGGGUUUUUUUGAGCAAUAGAUCUUGUUCUGAGUAAUCUUAUUUAUAAUUACAAUAUUUAAUUGUAAUUUAUUUAAUUGCUCUAGUGGAAUGAGGCUGAGAUGGAAUGUGACCUACAGGGGUGGCAAAAUGGAAUCUUCUAAUGUCAGCUAGAAGACACUGAAUAGAAGACAAGACAUGGAUAUAAAGAACAGCAAUUUUUAAAAGAUUUGGAUUCUGGGACAGUUCUCACCACUCCCUAAUUGAUGGAUCAUUGCACCUAAACAUUGUGUAAACAGUAUGGUUUAUGCCAAACACCUGCUUCCCUCCUGGGAAUCUGGAAUUUUGGUAUGUACUAGGCAGUGGGUGUCUACUCAGUAUUUUGGGCUCCCCUAGUAGACAACCCUUCACAACUACUGGCACAAUUCAAUGCUGGGGAAAUUAAGUGUAUCCUGUGUGACUCCACUAGAGGAUUAUUGGAAGGCUGUGCCUAUUUCCUAUGGACUAAUGCACCUUUUUCCUUGGAUGAUUUUGAUUUGUAUUCUUUUGCCAUAAUAAAUUAGAGCUAUGAUUACAACUAUAUGCUAAAUGCUAUGAGUACUCCUAAUACUCAAAGAAUAAUCUAGAUAAUGUCCAUAGUGAUGGAUAGUUCUCACAUUGACUCCUUUUGUUUUCAGUUUAUUUGGCCAUGCACAUUAGAAAUUCUUUGUAGAAAAAAAAUUCUCCUUUGUGAAAAAGGUGUGUUUUGACAAUGGUGGUUACACAGUACUUGUGUUUUAUUGCUUUUCUUAAAUUUUAAAGGACCCCUGUAAGGAACUUUUAUUUUGAAUAUUACUUAGCAUACAGGAACUAUUAUUUUGAAUAUUCCUUAGCAUACAGAAAAAUACUUUUGAGAUAAAGAUGUUUUGGGCUGAACUGUGUCCCCUAAAAUUCAUAUGUUGAAGUCCUAAUGCCCAAUAUCUCAGAAUGUGACUGCAUUUGGAAUCACUAACGUGACUGGUUUUAUCCUGGCCUCUUCUCCUGUCCUAUACUCUUCACCUUCACAACUAUGUCCAUACUGACAACAAAAAUUAGAUAUAAAUGAUUCACAAAUUUAUAUUCCAGUCUAAAUCUCCCUUUUAAAUUCCAGGUUUUACUUGACAGUUCCAACUCAGAUGUCCUCAAAGUGCCUCAAACUCAACAUGUCCAAAAAUGAACUCCUCUCCAAACUCUGGUCCUCUUUUUGGCUUCCUUAUGAAUGACAGAACCAUCUUUCCAGUUCAGUAAGACAGACAUCCUUGGCACCUCCCCAUCCCCCCUACUCUUCCACCAAGUUCUAGCAAGUUAAUUUGCCUCUGAAAUACAGAAUCUGUUUAUUUCUUUCUGUAUUCAUUGCCAAUAUCUAGUGUAAGCUCCCAUUUCAUCCCUGGUGAACAAUAUUAGCUAGCAAAAUCUCAAUUUGUUCUCUAGGACAUUCCUCUCAAAACAGAUUCCAUUCUAUGUCCUCCUCACACAUACCUAAAACCGUUUCAUUCAAUAGCUUUCCAUUGGUUAGGAUGGAGGCCAAAGUCCUUAAUAAGACUUCCAAAGCCCAGCACUAUCUGGUUACCUGCCCUCCUUCCGUAUCUAACAACUCCGGGCUUUCUAGCUCCACUCCUAUAGGAAGUCACAGUGCCUGCUAUACUAUCUACAAAACACUUUCCUCCAUCACCACUCUGCUAAAUAAUGCCUUUUCUUCCUUUAGCACUCAAUGCAACAUCUUUCUAGUAUCUGAGAAACCUCUCCUAACUAACCAUUCUCCUUUAUUACAGGCUUUUAUACACCAGGUAACUUUUCUUCAUAGCAUGUCAUAGUUGUAAUUUUACAUUUAGUUAUAAUUUGUCUUCCCCACCAGACUGUAAGAGACACAUUAAGAAUUUUUUGUUUCUCAUUGAAACAGCAGAUGAAUAAAAGGUCUAUUAAAAACCGUAUGUACUAAUAGCUAAAAACUGUCACCCAUUAAUUUACUCUGGGGAUUUUGUUUUCCAUUUUUCUUUACAUUUCCUGGAACCCCUAGCCAAUUGUUAAAUACUUGAUAAAUUUAGUGUACAUGCCAUACUAUUGGAAUUAUACAGGUUUUUUUGCUAAGUAUAUUAAGAAUAACAAUAGUACCUACUUUCAAUCCCAAAUGUGAAACUUAAAUAUGAUUUUGAAUACCUAUUGAAAAUGUUUGCAAAUUAAUCAUUUCCAGUGCACAAGGACACUUACUACAAAAAUACUAUGAAUCAGUUUAUGAAAAUCUAAAUCACUAAACUAAGUAAUAUAAAUACUGGCACCUUCAAGGGUGGUUCAAUUGGCUUCCCUCACCUCUGACUAUGAUACAAUUCAUGAGGUAUUCUGUGCUUCCCCUAAAAAGGUGUGAUUAUCUGCAUAACUAUUAUAUUUCCUCAUUACUAGACUAUAAGCUGGAUAAGGAGGGACCUAUGUCUAUUUUGCUCAGCAGUGUAUACUAUUUAUUCAGUAUUUGAUACAUUGCAGUGAUUGGAUAAACAUCACUGGAUAGCUGAAUGAUAAAGCACUCAUGCUCCUGUAAUCCACGAAUCCAUGUCAUAUAUUCAUACCAGGAUUUUGUAAACUUGCUAUGAAAAAACUGCCAAUGAUUGGGUUACACAGUAAAAAAGAAAACUCAAUGUAAAUUAUAACCAACCUUCCUUCUCUAAAUGACAAUACCUGUUUGUUGUCUAUCUCAGGAACUUCAAUACGUUCAAAACCAAACUAAUUAUCUCUACUUCCACAAUCAUUCUGAAACUCAGAAUUUAUAUGCCUACUAUAGGUUAAUGACAGAGAAGUACAGUGGAAAAGAACAUAGACAUCUCAUGUGAUCUCAGCUUUGGCACUUAUCAGGACCAGGGCUAGUAUCAAUAAAAAUGAAUUUCCUCCAAAGACUACUAAACUUCAGUUGUAAGAAUGCUGCAGAAUUCUUUAAGAGGAUUCGCUUCUAACUCUUCAUCUCUAUCGCCAUCUCUUCAUCUCUAUCGCCGACAAAUCAGAGACCUGUUUUCUGGACCUCCUUGCUCCUCCAUUAUCCUGAAUGGACUACUUACCAGUUCUUAUAGCUUCAGAGCCUACUUUGCUAUUAUAAAUCUACUUCUAUUACUUCCCUAUUUUAAAAAUACCACAAUAAAAACCAGGAUACAAAUGACUAAUGGACAUAAUGCUAAACAAAAUAGGCUUAGUUAAUAGAUAGAA